GCCUGCCCAAGCGGGUCCCUCCCGGGCGCGCGCCCUCCGUGCGCCCCCACCCCGCUCCGCGCCUGGCUCAGUUAUCCGGGACCCUGCUGCUCUCCAGGGGUGCGACCCAGGCCUCAGCCCACUGCACUGGCGCGGCGGGAGAAGCCCCGUCUUCGUGAGACUGGUCUAAAUUCUAGCUGAAGCCUCACCUCCUGUCAACCGCCGCCGGGCCUCUUGCCUCGGGUCCUUACUCCACCACGAGCCACAGCUCCACCUACUGCUAUCAAAAGUUCAGUUCAGCCUCACUUUGAACCACUGUGCAAGACGGAACUACCCUGUGUUCCCUCUCCUCCCCGAAAACCCUCCUUUCCACACCUCGCGAGUCACUCUUGCUGGAGGGCUUUCUUUUCAAGCCGUUGUCGUCAAAUCUGGACAGCAUCAAUGUGAACUAGUCCCUAAGGACCCCAGAUUUUGGGAAAACCGGACAGCGUCACCACCCCUCUUCACCGCCCCUUCCCUCCAACCCCCACAACAUUUUUAAGGAAAGUACAAACCAAAGAAACGACUCACUCUCCAAGCUACUCUGCACAGAUUCAUGGGUCUAGAUGUGUGAGAACUUUGGUGCCUUGAUGUUCAUUCCCGACCCCCAUCCCAGUCAUGGACUCUCCGUGCGAAUAAGAGCAGUGCUUCACUGAGCCACAUUAAUCUGAAAAUAUGCAGUUGCUUAAAGUGAAAUCCCGAUUUUUGAAAUCAGUGUGCACCAGCUUUUUAUUUGUAUAUUUCUUAGAAUUCUAGAAUUUGUGGAAGCCCAAAGCUUAAUGAACUUAUAAGCAGAGGUACUUAAUCCUGCCACACUCAACACCCUGUAUUUAGGACAAAAAUUCACCACCACUUUACUCUCCUGGAAUUAAAUCCAUAGGUAAUGUAAAAUACCGGAUAACUUCAAGAAACCAAUAGAAAGAUGAAAAAAAUUUCAUUCUAAAAUACUAUUCACUAUCAAUAAAAAUAUCUUUUUCAAUAUGUAAGUACUCUGGUACCAAUAUGAAAACUACCGGACAAAAACUGCACCCAGUUACUAUGCCCACUGAGAACCUCUGCUUAGGACUUAAUCUCUGAGGAAAGGAAAUGCUUUAGAUACAAAAAUUGAGCACCAGCAUAUACCAGGUACUGUGGGAGGUGCAAAUCUGAGUCAGGCAAUAUUACUUGUCUUCAAGGAAAUGACAGUCUAGUAACUGAGCAAAAAACAUGAACAUAAAAAUAUCAGGCAAGGUGAGAGGUGAGAAGAGAUCAAGGAGAGGUACAUGAAAAGACCCCUUUAAUGUUAUGAAUCUCACCUUCCUCUCUCCCUACCUCCCUUUUUUCAUUCCCUUUCUCCAGCCCAUCCUCCUCUUCAUUUUCUUUAGCACCAGUUUAUAGUCACUUCUUUCUCUCUGUAAGCUGUCUGCCUGGUUCACUGACCAAUGUCAGCAGCCCAGAGUCCUUCCAGUUUAGGGCCAUACCCACAGAGCAUUCUGCCCAGGAAAAGUUUCAGUGCCACAGUGCUGAAAACAGUGUUCUUAGCUGAAUUGCUGCCAGUUAUUUGGUAUCUUUGUACAAAGCAAGACUGUUAUCAUCACCACUCAAAAAAAAAAAACUGGUUGAAGACCUAAGCAAUAUGAAUAUAUGUUUAGCAUAGCAGAUUGUGCCAGCCCACAUAAAUCUGUUUAGAGAUCAUGCUCACGGAGUAACUUGCUUUUACUAAAAUAAGCUCAUUUGUAAAAAUUGUAAAUACGACUGAUUUCAACAGCUAUGUGGCUCCAGAAGUAAGUUUUUACCCAUGGAUUGGCACAGUUAGAAGGAUCUAGAUUUUUUUAUACAUAUGUUUUGCAGUUUGUCAUACAGUCUGGCAUGGCAAAACUUUAGUACUGUUAGAGAUGAAAAGUUGUCCAGCAGGUUUUAAAAAGCAUAGCCUUUUGAUAUUCAGAGUCUCAUCCACAUCUGGUACAGUAAAAAAUGUGUAUUUGUAGGAAAUGAAGAACUUUGAAUCAAAAAUACUAAGCCCUGGUGUCACCUGAAGAGGAACAGGCUACUGACAGCACUUUUUGUAGUAGUUUCCUCCUGUUAUUUUUCCUUUUUCUACUUUUGGUGAAAAAACAUGAUGCCAUGAAACAAAUCAGCUGAAAAGACAUCAAACUAAGACCCUUUAAACUUUUAAUUACAGUUAGGUGAACUAGAGUUUAGCCCUAGCGAAAUACUCUUACAGUUCUAAUGGCUACUUCAGAAGGUGAACAAAAAUGUUCCUGCUAAAGCUAGUUCAGAAUGAACAAACUUUCAAGUCAAUUUAGGAUCAAGUAAUUUCCUAUUCCUCUUAGUGCUUGCUUUGUGAAAAUAAGAAUGUUAUUUAUAGUAGUAGUAAAAACAAGUUAAUAUUCUUGGUAAUGCCCUCCACUCCACUCCUCCCUCAGUUCUGUAUCUAGCAUAAGACUAUAUAUAUGACUAUAGAUGCAAAACAAGAAAAACAGGGAAAACUGUUUUCCCAGCAUUAUUCAGAGUAAUAUACUGAUGCACUUUUAAAAAAAAUCAUGGUGUCGAGGUUGGUUCAUUCACUAGUGGGCUUGUUAGUGGCUAUGUCAACACUAUCUCUGAAAAAAGGAUACCACUCUAUCUUAUUUUACCUAAAAUCUUGCGACACAAUUAACCAUAGGGCCCAACUAGAAAGCAUACUAGAGAGAAAAGACAGUGCUUCAUUGUGUUUCAGAUCUUAGCAGAAGAGGCUAGAGCAGCAAGUCUUAAAAUUUAAUGUGCAUGAAAAUUAUCAGGGAACUUUAAAAUGUAGAUUCUUAGACCCCACUCCCAGGGGAGUUUAAUACAGUAGGUCUGGGAUAAGGCUAUGAAUCUGAAUUUAACAGGCAGCUGGUAACAUUUAUGUAAGUGACCUGUAGAGUCUACUUUGAGAAAUCUCGAAUAAUGUUUUUGAGGAAAAAGUUAUCACAUUCCUGUAGAACUAAGGAUUACAAGCUCUAAGAAGAGAGAUAUCCAUUCCGAAAACAGUCGGUUGAACAUCAACACUUGACAGUGAAAUUCUACUUCAGUCAUCAAGAACUUUCAGAUCCAUUACCGACCUCCAUCUUCCAAUUCUAAGCACUUGAGAUAUACUGCCUCAUUUUACCUUUAUGGUGUCUCUGUGAGGUAGUUGGUGUUUGCAGUUACAUGAGGAAGCCAAGGUGUGGAGGAUAACCUGCCCAAUGACUUGCCCAGUAACCUGCAAGUUAACAGUCUUCUGGUUGUGGUACGGAAAACAACUCAAGCUAGCUCAGUUAAAGAAGCUGAAGCUACUGUUUGUCCCUACAUGUCCACUCUAUCCUCUCCUCCCCUGACUCUUAAGACUCCUCUAGAACAUGGUUGUGGAUAAAAUGAGAGUUCCUGUGGCCAGGAUUCUCACCUGGCCCUGGUUGACUAGCUCACUGCACACCUGUGGGCAAUAUAUGGCUGUUGACUCUACAUAAAGAGCUCCGCCCAGUGCUCUGGGCGCAACAAGGUGGCAGGGCUGCAAGGCUGCAGGAGAGCAGAGCAGAGGCUGGAGUGGUGGCAGCGCCGAGGACAGAGGCCCAGAGGCAGAAACCAGCUUGCUGCACGCAGACCUGCUCUGAGUGAAUGGGAUUCUGGUGACUGACCUGCCACCUGGAAAUAAAGUUGGGUGUAAUCCUUUCACCCCAAGAACGUUUUGCUGUCAAUUUCCUUUGUCACAUCAAAUCCAUAGUGAACUUGCCUGGGGCUGAAACCCAUUGGCAAGACAAUGGUCCAGCCAAGUGCCCUUAGCCCAAGAAUCCAAUAUUACCAUUCAGCUCUGUUCAUUAGAGAUAAAUAGCCUGGUUCUCAUUAUCCCAAUUCCAAAAUCUAAAAAGAGAAUAUGAUUGUUCUAGCACAUCUCUUCUAAUUUAAUCAGCCGUGGCAGGAUGGGUGGGCAGUCUUGGAGGGCAAGGACAGCCUUAUGUGGGCAGCAGAGGCUGUGAGCAAGGGCAGUUCCUUCAGAAGAUGGCUGUGAACCAGCAGACACAAUGAUUCACAUUCCCGGGACACAGCCAGCCUUCUCUAAUAUUUUUAAUUAACUUCUCAUCAGUUAAAGUACUCACCUUCAAGGACCUUAUACAAAUCUACUGCCUCUCUGAACAUCUCUUAAUAAAUUGGACACAGGGUAGCUAUUUCUCCCAGCCAUUUACCAAAACCUUACUAUAUACUUCAGCUGUUGCACAGGUGUAUUAGUUUGCCAGAGCUGCUGUAACAAAGUACCACAGGCUGGGUGGCUUAAACUACAGAAAUUAAUUUUUCUCAUGGUUCCAGGGGCUGUUAAGUCUGAGAUCAAGGUGUAAGCAGUAUUAGUUCCUUCUGAGGGUUUAAGGGAAAGAUCUGUUCAGGUUUCUCUCCUCAACUGUAGAAGGUUGUCUUCUCCCACUGUCUUCACAUGUCUUCCCUCUGAACAUGUCUGUAUUCAAAUUCCUCUUAUAAGGAUUAGGGCCCACCCUAAUGACCUCAUUUUACUUUAAUUACUUCUGCAAAGACCCUGUCUCCAAAUACAGUCACUUUCUGAGGUACUGGGGUUAGGGCUUCAAAUAUAUAUGAGGGAGACACAAUUCAGCCCAUAAAAAGCAGUCACUACUAAAAACAAUGUAAAUGGUAUCUGAGCCUGUUCUUUUCACUGCAACAUCACUGGACUUAUCUACAGUUCUGCUUAUCAUUAUGUCCUUGAGUCCCUGAGAGCAUCCAGUAACUAUUUAUUAACUGUGUCUGUCAUUAUAAUAAACCUUUUUUAAAGCUCCAAGUCUGAAAAAGUGGUCAUAAUGUAUAGUUUUUGACUUGCUUAUUACGGUUUUAUUUUAAACCAUGUUAUCAAAUAGCAUUUUGUUCACACACUGCCUAGGGCAAUUGUUCUCAACCUGGCUAGACAAUAGAAUCACCUGGUACU